rfam:Mus musculus chromosome 9, GRC primary reference assembly.
CUCAUGGGGAUAUUUUGGGAUACUUUACAGGGCACCACUUCCAGGUGUUCCAUGUGGCCAGUGAAUUUGCUCCCUGGACCUGUUAU